UGAGGAAUAUUGGUCAAUGGACGGAAGUCUGAACCAGCCAAGUAGCGUGCAGGAUGACGGCCCUAUGGGUUGUAAACUGCUUUUGUAUGGGGAUAAAGUUAGGGACGUGUCCCUAUUUGCAGGUACCAUAUGAAUAAGGACCGGCUAAUUCCGUGCCAGCAGCCGCGGUAAUACGGAAGGUUCAGGCGUUAUCCGGAUCUAUUGGGUUUAAAGGGAGCGUAGGCUGGAGAUUAAGUGUGUUGUGAAAUGUAGACGCUCAACGUCUGACUUGCAGCGCAUACUGGUUUCCUUGAGUACGCACAACGUUGGCGGAAUUCGUCGUGUAGCGGUGAAAUGCUUAGAUAUGACGAAGAACUCCGAUUGCGAAGGCAGCUGACGGGAGCGCAACUGACGCUUAAGCUCGAAGGUGCGGGUAUCAAACAGGAUUAGAUACCCUGGUAGUCCGCACAGUAAACGAUGGAUGCCCGCUGUUGGUACCUGGUAUCAGCGGCUAAGCGAAAGCAUUAAGCAUCCCACCUGGGGAGUACGCCGGCNACGGU
rnacentral:rRNA from 1 species